rnacentral:rRNA from 1 species
UACGUAGGGGGCGAGCGUUGUCCGGAUUUAUUGGGCGUAAAGAGCGUGUAGGCGGCCAGGUAGGUCUGCUGUGAAAACUCGAGGCUCAACCUCGAGACGUCGGCGGAAACCAUCUGGCUAGAGUCCGGAAGAGGAGAGUGGAAUUCCUGGUGUAGCGGUGAAAUGCGCAGAUAUCAGGAGGAACACCCGUGGCGAAAGCGGCUCUCUGGGACGGUACUGACGCUGAGACGCGAAAAGCGUGGGGGAGCAAACAGG